AUUGAACGCUGGCGGCAGGCCUAACACAUGCAAGUCGAACGAGUGGCGGACGGGUGAGUAAUGUCUGGGAAACUGCCCGAUGGAGGGGGAUAACUACUGGAAACGGUAGCUAAUACCGCAUACACUCGGAUGUGCCCAGAUGGGAUUAGCUAGUAGGUGGGGUACCGGCUCACCUAGGCGACGAUCCCUAGCUGGGCUGAGCGGAUGACCAGCAACACGGGAACUGAGACACGGUCAAGACUCGUACGGGAGUCAGCAGUGGGGAAGAUUGCAAAAUGGGCGAAAGCCUGAUGCAGCCAGGCCGCGUGUAUGAAGAAGGCCUUCGGGUUGUAAAGUACUUUCAGCGGGGAGGCGUUACCCGCAGAAGAAGCACCGGCUAACUCCGUGCCAGCAGCCGCGGUAAUUC
rnacentral:rRNA from 1 species